AAAUAGGAACAAGAGAGAGAGCCAAAGUAGUGAAAUGAAAUGAAAAAACACAGAUAAGGAAGAGAGAAGCAUAAGCAGAACUGAAAAGAGAAGAAACUAUGGCGAAUAUGAGAUUAGCAAUGGAUUCAACAUUCUGGGACUUAAAUGUUUCAACUCCACAAACCUUAGAUGGUUCUGCUAAAUCUAUACCUGGUGAACCUUUUCCUCUCGAUGGAGCUAAAGCUAGUCGUGUACUUAGAACUCAACAACUUCCCCUUUUAAGUAAUGGUUUUCCUCUUGGUAUUAUUCCUUCAUACUCACCUGCUUCUCAAAAGGAACUUGGUUCUUUUUCUAUGCAGUCUCUCUUGCUUAGACCUUCCACUUCCAACUGGUGGCUUGGAUUAGUUGGGCAGUUUCGUCCAAAGAAGCUCAUAACUUCUAUUAAAUCAGAAUUUUUUGCGAAUAAUGACUUUGAAUUGCCUGCAAUUAAAGACAUUGCAAAGCACAUCGUGGAUAAGUCAAUAUAUUCACUUGGUUUAUGCACACAGCUUUCUAUUGGUCCUGAUUCGUCACUGCUUCUAAGUACUGAAAAACAAGGUGACUGGAACAAACGCCGUUCAAAAGCAAAGUUAUAUCACAAGCUUCCUGAUCAUGACAUCACAAUGGAAGCAGCAUGGCCAGAGCUUUUUGUUGACCGAAAUGGAGAAUACUGGAAUGUACCUGAGUCGGUAUCUUUAGAUUUAUCAUCCAUAGUUUCAGAAUCUGGAUUGAGGUACCGUUUGGGUUUGCAAAAAGUUAGUGGCCAACCUCAACCUCUUAGUGAUUCAAUUGGUGAACCACCUUUAAGUCUGAUGCCUGGAUUAUGCGCAAAAGCUGGAUUUUCUUAUGAAAAAAGCAGGGAUAUAUGGAGACAGAAGGAGACAGAAGAGGAUAUUACAAGAAAGACAAACCAGGGUGCUUUUUGGUGGCCAUCUUAUGAUGUACGUCUUAAAGAACCUCAUGCUGCAGUAUCUGGAAUAAUUGGUGGUACCUGUACUGCCUGGUUGACGGGUAAGGGAGGGUCAACGGCUGAGGAUUCAUCAAUUCAAGUGGGAGAAAGUGGAACUGUUUCAUUGCAUCCGAAAAUAAGAAAACCAUUAAUGGCUGAUUUGUAUGGUUCUGUUUGCUAUACAUUUCAACAUGGAAAAUUCAGGAAGUCAUACGGAGACCUGACUAGGGUUGAUGCUAGAUUGGACAUUUGCUCGGCUUCUGCUUUCGCCAAAGGUGCUGCAGAUCUUGUUUCUAAUGUCUUUGGAAGUUCUUCAGCUAGCAAAGAAGUGAAUCCGCUUUCUUCCCCAAGACUUAACCUUAUAUUACAACAACAGGUCGCAGGGCCGAUUGUGUUUCGAGUAGAUUCGAAAUUUGCACUUGGCUCCACGGUGUCAGGCGGAAAGCGGGGUCCGCAUAUGGAGGACAUCAUGUACAGCUUGAAUUAUUCUCUGAGGCUUCUCCGUUCGGGGAAAGUAGUUGCUUGGUAUUCACCAAAGAGGAAAGAGGGAAUGAUUGAGCUCCGCCUUUUCGAAUUUUAAAUUCUUCCUUGCCAAUUUUUUUCACUCUAGUUGUUGGUUUAGACAAGUUAUAGGCUAUCACGGUAUGGCUGAAGUGGUGGGAACUUUCUUGAGAUGGUUCCAGGAUCAUUCCAAGGUCGUGGCCCAUGCCACAUUACCACUCAUUGGACUUUAGACUCUUAUCCUACCUGUGUCAAAAUGUGGGUUUACAACUAGAAUCCGAUUUGUACACACUCCUUUAAGGAGUGUUGAUUUGACGGAUUCAUUUGAUUGGUAAAGUUGUUAAUUUUGUGCACAAUCCUUUAAAGAGUGUUAAUUUGACUUGUUUAUUUGAUUGGUUAAAUAGUUCACGACGAGAUUGAAAUA